rnacentral:lncRNA from 1 species
CUCCACCUGAAAUUGGGAACCCUAGAAUCACGCCUCCUUCAACCUCCGACUGGUGCCACCGUCCUUCUCAACCUCCAACCGACGAUUUUAAAUGUGGCCAGAUUUGCAAUCACCGAAAGCACAGUGAAAUCGGGUCCUUCAUCUUCACCACCGUCCACAAACGUCGCAUUCUUGGUCGACUCAGUCCACAACAGCUAGGUAUCUUCACCUUCGUCCACGAACGCCAACUGAUUUCCACCGUCGACAAUAAACUCAGUCCACAGCAACAAUAUUCUCUGUGAAACGUUGUGAAAAAGGAAGUUUAAAAAAUUGUGAAAAAUGGUGAAAAAGGUUUUGAAGAACGAUUUGAAGCUUGUUCAGUAUGCAAUUGUUGUGAGAAACAAACAAAUUCCCUAUUCUCUGUAAAUUGUGAAACUUGUGAAAAACGUUUUGAAGUUUGUUCAAUAUGUAAUUGCUGUGAGAAACUAGUGUAAUUCCCUUCUCUCUGUAAAUUGUUGGGAGAAACAAGUGUAAUCUUCUUGCUGUAUUUUAUUAUUUUUUUGCUGUAUCUCUCAAAUUGUGGAGUCCAGUCAACCAUUUUAACACUUGUAAAUGGAUACUACAAUUUUGGGAGUCCAGUAAACUAUUUUGACACUAGUAAAUGGAUACUACAAUUUUGGUUGCUAUUAGUUUUCUGUUGCUUAAAUUGCGUAAAUGGAUACUACAAUUUUAUUUUUAUUUUUUUGACUGGGGAUGCCUAUACAUUGUGCUCCAAAGUUGCAAAAGAAAAAUCGAAGAAAAAAGCUAGAGAAGAAAGCGGACUCGGCAAUUUCCAUACGUGGGUAAGACAACUCUUGAGUGGACUGGAGAAGAGAGUGAAGCUACUCGUUUGGAAAAGGGAAUCAGCUCCUCCAGGAGAGUGGUUGGAGAAGAGAAUGCCGAUCGGUCAAAUAGCCAAUGCUCAGCUCUGGUGCUCGUGAGGUUGGAGAUGAAGUGGAGUAGCUAAUUUCCCCACUUCAAUUUUCAAUUUUAUGGCAUCCAGUUUUGGGGAUAAUGAAGUCGGCUUUGGCGGGUUAUGA